GAGUUUGAUCAUGGCUCAGGAUGAACGCUAGCGGCGGGCCUAAUACAUGCAAGUCGAGGGGUAUAUUACUUUCGGUAAGUAGAGACCGGCGGACGGGUGCGUAACGCGUAUGCAACUUACCCACUACAAGGGAGUAGCCCGGGGAAACGUCGGAUUAAUACCCUACUGGUACUACAGGAGGGCAUCUGAAAGUAGUUAAAGAUUUAUCGGUAGUGGAUGGGCGAUGCGUCUGAUUAGUUAGUUGGUGCGGUAACGGCGUACCAAGACGAUGAUCAGUAGGGGGUCGUGAGAGGAUGAUCCCCCACCACUGGCACUGAGAUACGGGCCAGACUCCUACGGGAGGCAGCAGUAGGGAAUAUUGGUCAAUGGGCGAGAGCCUGAACCAGCCACGCCGCGUGCAGGAAGACGGCCUUCU
rnacentral:rRNA from 1 species